UGUUAUAGAGGACCCCACCAAAUGACCAGUCAAGUUUUAGGUCCUAACAAGCAAUGUAGUGCCACAAAAGUGAAACGAUAGUCACAAGAAAUU